AACGCACCUUGCGCCCUCUGGUAUUCCGGAGGGCAUGCCUGUUUGAGUGUCAUGAACACCUCACCCCCUCGGGUUUCCGAUCGGGUGGAUUUGGGUGCUGCCAGUUACAUGGCUCGCCUUAAAAGCAUUAGCGGUUGUUGACGUAAUAAGUUUCGUCUUGUCGACCGCUCCUAAUCUCCUUCGGGAUGUCUCUAGGGACACUUCAUGAUCUGACCUCAAAUCAGGUAGGACUACCCGCUGAACUUAA
rnacentral:misc_RNA from 1 species